rnacentral:rRNA from 1 species
UCGUGGAUUAAUUUGUCAGGUUAAUUCCGUUAACGAACGAGACUUUAACUGACUAGUUAGAUUCUAAUAUUUAUAUUGGUUUCUUCUAGUAGGACCAUGUGUGCUUAACAUAGGGAAGCGUGAAGCAAUAACA